GGUGUGUUUGGGGGUCCCUCAGCCUUGAUUGCAAGAGGGCGCAGGCUAGGCUGAGGGACCCCACUGGUGCAUG
rnacentral:pre_miRNA from 1 species